rnacentral:rRNA from 1 species
GUGGGGAAUAUUGGGCAAUGGGGGAAACCCUGACCCAGCGACGCCGCGUGAGGGAAGAAGGCCUUCGGGUUGUAAACCUCUGUCCUUGGUGACGAAAAAAAUGACGGUAGCCAAGGAGGAAGCCCCGGCUAACUACGUGCCAGCAGCCGCGGUAAUACGUAGGGGGCGAGCGUUGUCCGGAAUUACUGGGCGUAAAGGGUGCGUAGGUGGCCUUUAAGUUGGAUGUGAAAUACCCGGGCUUAACUUGGGGGGUGCAUCUAAUACUGGAGGGCUAGAGUGCAGGAGAGGGAAGCGGAAUUCCUAGUGUAGCGGUGAAAUGCGUAGAUAUUAGGGGGAACACCAGUGGCGAAGGCGGCUUUCUGGACUGUAACUGACACUGAGGCACGAAAGCGUGGGGAGCAAACAGGAUUAGAUACCCGAGUAGUCC